UUCUUUCUUGAGCAGCCGGAGGAGUGGAUGGGUCGGACAAGUUCUCGGAGCACUACAGAUCAUGGUGCCUAACAACCAGAAGCAGUUCAUCAACAUCCUAACCGGCCACAUCAACAGUGGCGUGAUCCCCAUGAGCAGGUUCAGAUGCAAGCAUGGUUAAUCAGCCCGGAAAGCAGCUAAACUGAGUAGCUGACAGAGUGACCAAGUUAAACCUGGUGAAUCCGAGCCUGGCAAUUUCCUGGAAAGGCUUCACAAGGAAAAGGGGAACACGGUGGGCUCCCCAAG